rnacentral:rRNA from 1 species
AGCCUCCUCGGGGCGCAGCAGUAGGGAAUUUUCGUCAAUGGGCGCAAGCCUGAACGAGCAAUGCCGCGUGAACGAGGAAGGUCUUCGGAUCGUAAAGUUCUGUUGACGGGGAAAAAAGACCGGGAAAGGAAAUGAUCCCGGAGGAGAUAUUACCCGUCGAGGAAGUCACGGCUAACUACGUGCCAGCAGCCGCGGUAAUACGUAGGUGGCGAGCGUUAUCCGGAAUGAUUGGGCGUAAAGGGUGCGUAGGCGGUCGAUUAAGUCUGGAGUGAAAGGUACCGGCUCAACCGGUAUAG